AACGAACGCUGGCGGCAGGCCUCAAACAUGCAAGUCUAGGGGGUGUAGCAAUACAUCACCGGCGGACGGGUGCGUAACACGUGGGAAUAUACCUUUCGGUACGGAACAACUGCGGGAAACUGCAGCUAAUACCGUAUACGUCCUAGCGGAGAAAGAUUUAUCGCCGAAGGAUUAGCCCGCGUUCGAUUAGCUAGUUGGUGGGGUAAUGGCCCACCAAGGCGACGAUCGAUAGCUGUUCUGAGAGGAAGAUCAGCCACACUGGGACUGAGACACGGCCCAGACUCCUACGGGAGGCAGCAGUUGGGAAUCUUGGACAAUGGGGGAAACCCUGAUCCAGCCAUGCCGCGUGAGUGAUGAAGGCCUUCGGUUG
rnacentral:rRNA from 1 species